rnacentral:rRNA from 1 species
GUCCACGCCGUAAACGAUGUCUGCUAGCCGUUGGGGCGCUUGACGCUUCAGUGGCGGAGCUAACGCGAUAAGCAGACCGCCUGGGGAGUACGGCCGCAAGGUUAAAACUCAAAUGAAUUGACGGGGGCCCCGCACAAGCGGUGGAGUAUGUGGUUUAAUUCGACGCAACGCGAAAAACCUUACCCGGUCUUGACAUCCUGGGAACUUGCUAGAGAUAGCUUGGUGCCGAAAGGAGCCCAGAGACAGGUGCUGCAUGGCUGUCGU